AAGAGUCUAUCUGAUUGUUUGAACUUAGACCAAAGGUCCACCCUCAAGGCUGGGAGAGGUGGAAUCUGGUCUCUGCAAGAACUUCCAUGGUGGGGAGUAGGCCCCUGGAUUUAUACCCCACUAAGACUACAUACACAUGGAGGAGGCAAUUUCCUAAAAGAAAUCAUAGCCAUCUGGAAGGUGGAAUGGAUAUUAAGUAGCCGAAGAAACACCACAUGUUCACUACAGUCCUGUCUUCAACAGUAUUACAUUCACACUAGCAUGUUGAUACUAGAGGAGAUGAAAGAAAACUGGCCUGAUCCUAUUGGGAAAGACUGUGAAAACAUCCAAGUUACAUGAAAUUGGGCCAGAGGUCCUCUUGAGCCUGGACUUAUGAAGCACGCCUUUUCCUACAGUGGAAAGAAUACUAAUUUACAUAUCAGAAGACCCAGUAUAAUCGAGUUGUGUCAUGAACUCACUACAUGACUUUAGGCAAGUCACACCCUUUAUUCUUCUUUUUCUUUUUUCUGGAAUAUGAAGGGAGUUAACUAGAUGAGCACUGAUGCUUGUUCAAGUCCCAUGAUCAUCUUAAGCGGAUUCCUAAAUAAAGAAAGGACUCAUGUUAGCCUUGCUGACACAUCUUCCCUCGUGUGCCACAGAAGACCGAAUGAUAUAAUAAAAGCAUCUCUGUUCCCCAAACCA